rnacentral:rRNA from 1 species
UGGGGAAUAUUGGACAAUGGGCGAAAGCCUGAUCCAGCGACGCCGCGUGGGUGAUGAAGGCCUUCGGGUUGUAAAGCCCUGUGGGCAGGGAAGAAAACGUUGCAGUCGAAUAGGCUGCGACCUUGACGGUACCUGCUCAGAAAGCACCGGCUAACUCUGUGCCAGCAGCCGCGGUAAGACAGAGGGUGCAAACGUUGCUCGGAAUUACUGGGCGUAAAGCGCGUGUAGGCGGAUCGGCAUGUCGGGUGUGAAAUCCCCAGGCUCAACCUGGGAACUGCAUUCGAAACUACCGGCCUUGAGUGGUGGAGAGGGAAGUGGAAUUCCUGGUGUAGAGGUGAAAUUCGUAGAUAUCAGGAGGAACACCAGUGGCGAAGGCGGCUUCCUGGACACCAACUGACGCUGAGACGCGAAAGCGUGGGGAGCAAACAGGAUUAGAUACCCCCGUAGUCC